rnacentral:rRNA from 1 species
GACGAACGCUGGCGGCGUGCCUAAUACAUGCAAGUCGAGCGGACGAAUCGAAAGCUUGCUUUUGAUUCGUUAGCGGCGGACGGGUGAGUAACACGUGGGCAACCUGCCCUGUAGACGGGGAUAACACCGAGAAAUCGGUGCUAAUACCGGAUAACACGAAAUGUCGCAUGACGUUUCGUUGAAAGACGGCGCAAGCUGUCGCUACAGGAUGGGCCCGCGGCGCAUUAGCUAGUUGGUGAGGUAACGGCUCACCAAGGCGACGAUGCGUAGCCGACCUGAGAUGGCGAGCGGCCACAGAGUGACUGAGACACCGACGAGGCGACAGAGGGAGGCGGCAGAAGGGCAUCUCACGCAAUGGGAGAGAGUCGUCCGGAGCAUCGGCACGUGAGCGAAGAAAAGUCACGCGGCGUAAAGCUGUGUGGUGAGGGAAGAACAAGUAACGCAGUCACAUGCGUUAGCGUGACGGUCCCUGACGAGAGAGCCAAGGCUAACUACGUG